rnacentral:rRNA from 1 species
AUUGAACGCUGGCGGCAUGCCUUACACAUGCAAGUCGAACGGUAACAGGUCUUCGGAUGCUGACGAGUGGCGAACGGGUGAGUAAUACAUCGGAACGUGCCCGAUCGUGGGGGAUAACGGAGCGAAAGCUUUGCUAAUACCGCAUACGAUCUACGGAUGAAAGCAGGGGACCGCAAGGCCUUGCGCGGACGGAGCGGCCGAUGGCAGAUUAGGUAGUUGGUGGGGUAAAGGCUCACCAAGCCAACGAUCUGUAGCUGGUCUGAGAGGACGACCAGCCACACUGGAACUGAGACACGGUCCAGACUCCUACGGGAGGCAGCAGUGGGGAAUUUUGGACAAUGGGCGCAAGCCUGAUCCAGCCAUUCCGCGUGCAGGAUGAAGGCCUUCGGGUUGUAAACUGCUUUUGUACGGAACGAAACGGUCUGCCCUAAUACGGUGGGCUAAUGACGGUACCGUAAGAAUAAGCACCGGCUAACUACGUG